UACGUAGGAGGCAAGCGUUGUCCGGAAUUACUGGGCGUAAAGCGCGUGUAGGUGGUGGGACAAGUCUGCUGUGAAAGCGCCUGGCUUAACCGGGCGAGGUCGGCGAAAACUGUCCGACUCGAGGACGGUAGAGGGGGGUGGAAUUCCGCGUGUAGCAGUGAAAUGCGUAGAGAUGCGGAGGAACACCGAUGGCGAAGGCAGCCCCCUGGGCUAGCACUGACGCUCAGGCACGAAAGCGUGGGGAGCAAACAGG
rnacentral:rRNA from 1 species